rnacentral:rRNA from 1 species
UCCCUGACUCCCUGAGAGUCCUGAAGGAACGUUGAAGACGACGACGUUGAUAGGCCGGGUGUGUAAGCGCAGCGAUGCGUUGAGCUAACCGGUACUAAUGAACCGUGAGGCUUAACCUUACAACGCCGAAG